AGUUCGGAUUGUAGGCUGCAACCCGCCUACAUGAAGUCGGAAUUGCUAGUAAUCGCAGAUCAGCAUGCUGCGGUGAAUACGUUCCCGGGCCUUGUACACACCGCCCGUCACACCAUGGGAGUCGGUAACACCCGAAGUCGGUAGCCUAACCGUAAGGAGGGCGCCGCCGAAGGUGGGAUUGAUGACUGGGGUGAAGUCGUAACAAGGUACC
rnacentral:rRNA from 1 species